AUUGAACGCUGGCGGCAGGCCUAACACAUGCAAGUCGAACGGCAGCACAGAAGAGCUUGCUCUUUGGGUGGCGAGUGGCGGACGGGUGAGUAAUGUCUGGGAAACUGCCCGAUGGAGAGGGAUAACUACUGGAAACGGUAGCUAAUACCGCAUAACGUCGCAAGACCAAAGUGCGGGAACUUCGGGCCUCACACCAUCGGAUCUGCCCAGUUGGGACUAGCUAGUCGGUGGGGUAAUGGCUCACCUAGGCGACGAUCCCUAGCUGGUCUGAGAGGAUGACCAGCCACACUGGAACUGAGACACGGUCCAGACUCCUACGGGAGGCAGCAGUGGGGAAUAUUGCACAAUGGGCGCAAGCCUGAUGCAGCCAUGCCGCGUGUAUGAAGAAGGCCUUCGGGUUGUAAAGUACUUUCAGCGGGGAGGAAGGCGGUGAGGUUAAUAACCUUGCCGAUUGACGUUACCCGCAGAAGAAGCACCGGCCAACUCCGUGCCAGCCGCCGCCGUAA
rnacentral:rRNA from 1 species